CCCAACUUCAACAAGAACAACUCAAGUGGCACCAAGGGAAAGCAACGUGUGAGGACAUGCUAUAAUUGUGGCAAUGUGAGCCACUUUGUUCGGAAUGCCCGUAUGAAGAGGGAAGACAAUGGGGGCAAGCUUAUCCGAAAAGACAAGGCCAAGUCCUUCCCCAACAAGAACAAAUUCACCAAGAAGACUCCUCCCAAGGGGUUGGUGGCACAAGAAGAGAACAAUGAGGAUGAUGAUGAUGAAGACGGUGAGACGGUUACCAUGGCCUCCGUUGCCAUUGCAACAACUCCACGGGUGUCCCUCUUCGACUCACUCAACGAGAACAUCACCGCCAAGUGCAUCAUGGCUAAAUCCACCAACAAGGUAACCCCCAACAUCAAAACCACCAUCACUACUAAUCCUUCCUUGACGGAUUGCAUUGAUGAAAGUGAGGGGUCGAAGGAGGAAGAGAAUGAAUUUGAG
rnacentral:rRNA from 1 species